rnacentral:sRNA from 2 species
AUGUCGCACCCAUACAUUCCGGUUCUGAGUGCACCGUCCUCACCCAUCCGACGACCGCUCGCCCCGCUCUGUUCGCC